CCAGCGGGGAGAUGAAGCUGCCCGCAUCGCUUGUCUUGGCUGCCUCUCAGCUGACACUGCUGACAGGCUGCUUUGAUCUCAGGUUAUCAGGGCUAACCCUGUGCCCUGGGCCUGCUCUGCCAGCCCCGAGUCACUCAGCUGUCGGGAGCUAUGUCAACAUGUCAGUCUGGUUGAGCAAACAAGCAUUUUGAGUGGAAAUAUUUCAGAUAAACAGACACAAUGUUAUGACAUAUCAA
rnacentral:lncRNA from 1 species